UACGUAGGGGGCUAGCGUUAUCCGGAAUUGCUGGGCAUAAAGGGUGCGUAGGUGGUUUCUUAAGUCAGAGGUGAAAGGCUACGGCUCAACCGUAGUAAGCCUUUGAAACUGGGAAACUUGAGUGCAGGAGAGGAGAGUGGAAUUCCUAGUGUAGCGGUGAAAUGCGUAGAUAUUAGGAGGAACACCAGUUGCGAAGGCGGCUCUCUGGACUGUAACUGACACUGAGGCACGAAAGCGUGGGGAGCAAACAGG
rnacentral:rRNA from 1 species